rnacentral:rRNA from 1 species
GAUGAACGCUAGCGGCAGGCUUAAUACAUGCAAGUCGAGGGGCAGCAUGAAUGUAGCAAUACAUUUGAUGGCGACCGGCAAACGGGUGCGGAACACGUACACAACCUUCCUAUAAGUGGGGAAUAGCCCAAAGAAAUUUGGAUUAAUACCCCGUAACAUAAUGAUGUGGCAUCACAUUAUUAUUAUAGCUUCGGCGCUUAUUGAUGGGUGUGCGGCUGAUUAGAUAGUUGGCGGGGUAACGGCCCACCAAGUCUACGAUCAGUAGCUGAUGUGAGAGCAUGAUCAGCCACACGGGCACUGAGACACGGGCCCGACUCCUACGGGAGGCAGCAGUAAGGAAUACUGGUCAAUGGACGCAAGUCUGAACCAGCCAUGCCGCGUGAAGGAUUAAGGUCCUCUGGAUUGUAAACUUCUUUUAUCUGGGACGAAAAAAGGCUAUUCUUAGUCACUUGACGGUACCAGAUGAAUAAGCACCGGCUAACUCCGUGCCAGCCGCCGCGGUAAUAC